rnacentral:rRNA from 1 species
GACGAACGCUGGCGGCGUGCUUAACACAUGCAAGUCGAGCGGUAAGGCCCUUUCGGGGGUACGACGAGCGGCGAACGGGUGAGUAACACGUGGGUGACCUGCCUUUAGCUCUGGGAUAAGCCUGGGAAACUGGGUCUAAUACCGGAUACGACUCCGCGGUGCAUGCUGUGGGGUGGAAAGCCUUGUGCGGCUGGAGAUGGGCCCGCGGCCUAUCAGCUUGUUGGUGGGGUGAUGG